AGUGCUAAAUGCGCUUAACUGCUGGCCAAUUGGUGAAUGCAUAUGUUGUGGCACUUUGUGGAUUGCAAAUAAAUAUCAGGCCUAGUGAAGGAGAGGUAUUGAAGACCUCCGACAAUUGUUCGAUAUGGGGUCGGAUCAUCAAAUGAGCUUUGUUUUGGUGCACGCUAGAGUAGAAAUUCCGUUACAGUUAUUCAUAUGUGCCUUAGACA
rnacentral:misc_RNA from 1 species